AGUAGAACUGUGGAGUAAACUCUCUGGAAACAUCACAUUUCAGUGUUCUCAGUGAAGUCUCAGGACAGUAUGCAAUCAUGGAUUGGUGCAACAAGGUUACAUAAUUUGCUUCGGUUCACUUCGUACACAUGUUUUGACAUUUGUCAACUGAUAAAUAAGACCAUCUAGUAAAGGAAAAUCUGAAGAGUCCACAAGUCUGCAAUGAGAAUAUCAUUCAAAGACAGGCUUUUCUGCUUCCAGGAGCAGCAACAUAGAAGACAUGUAUAUUCAUAAUUGACUGAGGGUUCGCUCCCUACAUCCUACAUUCAUAUCUGUCGCCCAUAACAAAGAGAAAUCCAUGUAUUAUGGAUUGCAGAAGCUAUCUGCAAGCGCCAGGGUUGAUAACUGACUGAAGACCAUGUCCAUGUUGCUAAGGACCUAGUAUUUGGAUGAAAUUGAAGGAGUUUGUUAUGAUAACUGUAAUUUGUACUGCAUUAUAGAUUUGUAUGGAUCUCCUUAUAUAUUUGGAUUGUUUCAACAAGCGCAAUUAUCUCAAAUACCUGUUACAAUUUAAUUCAAAAUGCAAGUAAAUUACCUUCAGAGAAGAGAUCUCAUUAUUCAAAUAAAAUAAUUACUAGAUAAUCAGUGUAAUUUUUUAGAGACUAUUUGCAAAAUCAAAACGUGCAUUUUAAAAUCUGUGAAUGAAGCCCCAGCCCUAAUGAAUCAGUAGGAAUUCAGAAGCUGAUUUAGAGGGGAACAAGAUUCCACUAAGUACCACUAUUUCAAUAAAACAUGUGAGUUCAGUCAAAAGAAAAUACAUGAAAUAAUUUUAAAUCUAUUCUUUAUCUGGUAAUUCUCAUUCCAGAAAUUAAAAAUCCAAGGUCACUAAAUGUCCACAUUUUAUUUUAACUGUAUAAAAUAGAGUAAUAAUUGAGAGAACUUUCUGUAGCUUAUUAAAAAUACAGGCGCUCUCUGCCUCAUGAUGCUCUAGAAACUCACUGUGCACUCUCUACUCAUACCAACAAGCAACCCAUUGCACAUAUUUUCUCAAUUUGAGAUGAUACCUUGGUUAUGUCACAUCAGAUGUCAUGAAAAAACAACCUUGAAAGAGCCUGGAUGGAUUUUCUAAAAUGUCCCAUUCAUGUGUAUAUUUUUUUCUAAAGACUGGUAAUUUCUUUGUUCUCCACAAUAUUUGUCACAGUAACUUGGCAGACAGCAGUGGAGUGAACAUUGUGUAACAGUUUGCUGAUAAAUGUUACCAUCCAGAUCUGGACACACACCUGCUCUGCCACAAGCAUAGGAUGAACAAUAAAUAUGCUAAUAUGACUUCAAGAAGAGAUUUUAUAUGUAUUUUAUAUCCAGCAGUUGUUACAACUUUUCUAAUAUCCUCCAGUGAUUUAUGACAUCACACAAAAUUCAUCCUCUCACACAACAGGUGUAUUGCAGUCUCUAUCUUAUUGGAAGAAUGUGCUCUAAAGAGGUGUGGAACAUAUUUGGUUGAAGUGUUUGACAAUUCAAUAAAUUUGGUAACAGCUCAAAGGACCC
rnacentral:lncRNA from 1 species